rnacentral:rRNA from 1 species
AGUGAACGCUGGCGGUAGGCCUAACACAUGCAAGUCGAACGGCAGCACAGUAAGAGCUUGCUCUUACGGGUGGCGAGUGGCGGACGGGUGAGGAAUACAUCGGAAUCUACUUUUUCGUGGGGGAUAACGUAGGGAAACUUACGCUAAUACCGCAUACGACCUACGGGUGAAAGCAGGGGAUCUUCGGACCUUGCGCGAUUGAAUGAGCCGACGUCGGAUUAGCUAGUUGGCGGGGUAAAGGCCCACCAAGGCGACGAUCCGUAGCUGGUCUGAGAGGAUGAUCAGCCACACUGGAACUGAGACACGGUCCAGACUCCUACGGGAGGCAGCAGUGGGGAAUAUUGGACAAUGGGCGCAAGCCUGAUCCAGCCAUACCGCGUGGGUGAAGAAGGCCUUCGGGUUGUAAAGCCCUUUUGUUGGGAAAGAAAGGCAGCAGGUUAAUACCCCGCUGUUCUGACGGUACCCAAAGAAUAAGCACCGGCUAACUUCGUG